rnacentral:lncRNA from 10 species
GAUGUUCUGCGUGGUGAUCUUGGUGCCCGUCAGCAGCCUGUCGGACCUGCAGAGGACGCUGGCAUCGCCGCUGCCAUAGCCCCAGAGGAGGAUGAGGGCACAAAGUGGGUGGAGGACACAGACAGGCUACGGCUUCGGAGCCCCAGUGGAUGCUGGGCUCUAGGAAGGCGCCCCCGACUCCAAAGUGCACGGAGCCGCUGCCCAGCCCCCAAAGGACUAAGUGGCCAAUGACUGGCGAAAGCUGCAGGAAGUUAGGGUGAGGCAGAGAACGGUUCAAGGAGCUGCAAUCGGCAGGAGGAAUCGGAAAUUUUAAUUGCAUUAUUACCAAUUAUAAGAAUUUUUGUGCUAUGAGUGGGUUUUGUGCUAUGAGGGGACCCAAAAAAGGGCUGAUAAAACACCAAAACCACUGGUGAGGAGAACUUAAGAGGGAACCAGGCUUCAAGCUCCUAAACUCACCAUGGACUGCCACAGAAUUUAAAGCACAGUCCAUAUUCCUCAGAAAGCUAACCAAGCCCACCACUGGGUGUCCUACCAAAGGCCGUUCCCUGGCAUUAUUCUAGACAGAACAACCCAGACGGCAAAAAUGUACUGCUGUGGAGAGAUGAAUCAAUUCCUAGGAGGACUGGACAGACAUUCUCAAAAGUUUGUUGGAAAGAUAGCAGAGAAGAGAAGAAUGAGGUGCUUUAAUAAAGGGAUAGGAAGAAGGUGAGAACAAGGAACUGAGAUUAGGAGCUGAGUGUGUCCAUGACAGACCGCCUAGAAAGAAUGUAGUGUCUAGAGCUUUUACUCAUAGACCGCGGGACAAGGUAUUACCUAGUGCUUUGAGGUGUCGAUUUUCUGGCCAGAAACUUCUGCGGCUGGCGACAAGCUCUUGUCCUGCAUCCAGGAAGAAUGACAGGAAGAAUGAGGUACACGAACAAGUGAAGGGUGCACAAUAAGAAUGAGGUACCCAGACAAGUGAAGGACAAGAUGAAGAUGAGCUUUACUAAAUUUUAGAACAGCUCAGAGGAGACCCACAGUGGGUAGCUCCUCUCCGUAGGCAGGUCUUCCCAACAUCUACUGCUCUCAGCAGAGAGGAGGCCCUGGAGCGGGUGCUCCUUGCUCCUCUCUGCACUGUAGUCCCGAAGUCUCUGCAGGUCUCUGAAGCUCUCAGCAGAGAGGGUAGUUCCUCUGUGCAGCUGGUUGUCCCAUCGUCUCCUGCUAUUAGCAGAGAGGGCAGCUUCUCUCUGCAACUGGUCUUCCUGUCCCUCCAUCCUCUCUCUUGCUCUGCCUGAGCCCGAGGCUUUUAUGGGGUGGAGGAAAUGCCUGCUGAUUGAUCCAUGGGCAGCCAUAGGCAGGCCAAAGGAGG